rnacentral:rRNA from 1 species
UGGGGAAUCUUGCGCAAUGGGCGAAAGCCUGACGCAGCGACGCCGCGUGGGUGAUGAAGGCCUUCGGGUUGUAAAGCCCUGUGGAGGGGGAAGAAUAAGGGUAGUUUAAUACGCUAUCCGAUGACGGUACCCCUUUAGCAAGCACCGGCUAACUCUGUGCCAGCAGCCGCGGUAAGACAGAGGGUGCAAACGUUGUUCGGAAUUACUGGGCGUAAAGCGCGUGUAGGCGGCUUGGCAAGUCGGGUGUGAAAGCCCUGGGCUCAACCUAGGAAGUGCACUCGAAACUGCUUCGCUUGAGUGUCGGAGAGGAAAGCGGAAUUCUCGGUGUAGAGGUGAAAUUCGUAGAUAUCGAGAGGAACAUCGGUGGCGAAGGCGGCUUUCUGGACGACUACUGACGCUGAGACGCGAAAGCGUGGGGAGCAAACA